UCUCUGGCUCUGGCGCCUGCUCGCUUGUUCCAAAAGAUGUAAACAAUAGAGCGCGCUCUGCGCUUUGGCGCGCCGGAGCUCUGGCUCCUAAAGAUGUAAUUGGGGUGGCUUUCGCUUUUGGGGCUGGGGGUUUGCGCUCCUGGCUCCUGAAGAUGUAAGCAAUAAAGUUUUGCCGCAGAAGAUUCUGGUUUGUUGCGUCUUUCCUGGCCGGUCGUGAGAACGCGAAUAAGACAGAUUUAUUAACAAAAUAAUGGGCAGUAAGAGAAGUACUGAAUUCAAACUGCUACAUGUUGCAACAGUGUGGAAAGAUCAACAGAAAAGGAGGUACCCCAGUCUCCAUCUCAUGGCCCUUGGAGAGAAACCUUAAAUAAAAUCUCCCAGUUACUAGCAUACAUAUGGUUGCACAAUGAAAGUAUGAAAACAGAAUGUAAGGAUUUAGAGCUACCCUGCCUAAAAUUCCCAUCUCAAGUUUCCAGUAUGUUUUUUUUUAAACAAUUGAGGAUGCCAUUGAAAUUCUAUUUGAGUAUUUUUUAUAGAAAAUUACUAUAUCAAAUUCAGUGUCUGUUUAGUAUUGAAUGCAAAACAAGAUUCUUAGACAAUUCUCAUAUAAAUUCUUUUAGGAAAUAAUGAUAUUUUAUUAACCAAAAAUUGUCUCAAGAUAUCAAUAUUAUUUUAUACUCUGACAAACCAUUUUAUUGUAUGAUUUAAGGCAAAUAUAUACUGGCCAUGUUUUCUGCUGUAUUAACUAUAUUGUGAAAUACAAAACAAUGUACCUUCUACAGAUUUGUACUGCAUUUUUGAAAUGGAUAUGAAAAUCAAGGUGUCUAAGUCCUUCAGAUUGCUGAGGCUUCAACUAAGAAGCCUUAUACAAGUAUUUCAGGUGUCAUCAGGUUCCCAAUGAUGUAUGUGAUAGUUUGUAUAUGCUUGGCCCAGGGAGUGGCACUAUUUGGAGUUGUGGCCUUAUUGGACUAAGUGUGUCACUGUGGGCAUGAUCUUCAUUACCCUCAUCCUAACUGCCUGGGAGGCAGUCCUUUCCUAGCAGCCUCUAGAUGAAGAUGUAGAACUCUCAACUCCUCCUGCACCAUGCUUGCUUGCACUCUGUCAUGCUUCAACCUUGGUGAUAAUGGACUGAAGCCCCAGUUAAACGUUAUUCUCAUAAGAGUUGCCAUGGUCAUGUUGUCUGUUCACAGCAGUAAAAUCAAUGUGACUUAAGAACUGCUCUGAAUACAGAAGUGGAUGCUCACAGUCAUCUAUUGGAUGGAACACAGGGUCCCUAAUGAAGGAGCUAGAGAAAGUACCCAAGGAGCUAAAGGGGUCUACAGCCCUAUAGGAGGAACAAAAAUAUGAACUAACCAGUACCUUACCCCGACCCCAAGCUGUGUCUCUAGUUGCAUAUGUAGAAGAGAAUGGCCUAGUCAGCCAUCAAUGGGAGGAGAGGCCCUUGUUAUUGCGGAAGAUCAUAUGCCCCAGUACAGGAGAAUGCCAGGGCCAGGAAGUGGGAGUGUGUGGGUUGGGGAGCAGGGCAAGGGGAGUGUAUAAAGGGCUUUUGUGAUAGCAUUUGAAAUGUAAAUGAAAGUAUCUAGUAAAAAUGCCUUAAAAAAUAAAGAACUGCUCUGAAGAACAAUCUCAUGCUAACAUAUUUGUAAACUGUAUUUUAAUUUAUGUAUUUCCUUUGCAAUUCUAUACAAAUGAAGUUUGGUCUUGGUUUUGUUAUAGUUAAGGGAAGUCAGAGUAUCAGAUGGGGAUUAUUUUUGCCAACAACAUGGUGGAUGCUGCUAAUGUUCACUCUCCUAAAAGCGUUCUUCUGUGUGGAAGACAAUUUUGAGUGGAUGUGGUAAAAGGCUUUGGAACAAAAAAAUAGUACUAUUUCUCAGUAAAUAUGAUCAUUUAUAUAAUCAUGUACAUAUAUAUAUUUAUAUGGGUUUUAUAUUUACAUUAUAUAUCAUUUAAAUUUCAGUACAAAAAUCUAAGUUUUCAUACUAGAUAGUAAAUGAUAGACUGUAUUUAACAUAUAAAAUACAUUUAUGAACAAAAAUAAUUGUAUGAAAACAAGUUGACCCAAAUUCAGAGUACAUUAUUUGAAGAAAAAUAUAUUAAUUCUCUAGUUACUUAAAAUUAAUUUUUUAAAAUUGUAAUAAUAAAAGUAAACAUUGUAUAUCAAUUUGUUUUUAACUACUCUUACAUUCUCUUCAUAACAUUACCAUUAUAUAUUGCAAAUUAUCCUGGAAUUUUAUAAGACUGUGAAACAAAACUUCAAGAAUUAUUUGCUAUUUUGUUUCCCCAGAAAACAAAACUCUGGAACUUCAAAGUACAGUAUCAUAUUUAUGCUACUUGCUGUAGCAGUGAACAACUCUGAUCACAUCUCUCAAAAUCACUAUUACUAUUCUUAGUGGAGCACUCUACGAGCUGGAUAUAAAGAUAUAAAUGAUACCGUAUGGCCUAAGAACAGGCGCUUUUGUGGAGUUCUGGUAUUGUGUGUAAGAGAAGUGAACUAAUGAUAAAAUCACGGCGAUAUUACUUCUUUCUCCCAACAAUAUUUUCAAUAGUAAUCCAGGCUAUAAAUGUAAUAGCAGGUCUAACACUACUGGCAAUAUUGAGUUGAAAUGGCAAAUUGCAAUGCUAGGAAAAUUGUUAUCAGAGGGAUUGAUCUACAGUGGUACUAAUAUCUCAAGCUCCCAAAUAAAUGUUCAAUAAAAUGAUGCUUCACUAUUGUGCAAGCUUUGUGAUAAUGAUUUACCCAAGAUAUAGUACUUUAAAACCUCUAGCCAUCUUUCAUAUGUUAGAGCAAAAGCGAGAAAUAAAAUGAAAAUCCA
rnacentral:lncRNA from 1 species